UAGUAAAUAGGCGAUGACGUUCGCCUUCAACCGCUGUACUAGAAUCAGCUAAUAACGUCUACCUUGAU
rnacentral:ncRNA from 2 species